ACUCGGGGGGACCUGAUCCAGCCAUGCCGCGUGUGUGAAGAAGGCCUUUUGGUUGUAAAGCACUUUAAGCGAGGAGGAGGCUACUCUAGUUAAUACCUAGGGAUAGUGGACGUUACUCGCAGAAUAAGCACCGGCUAACUCUGUGCCAGCAGCCGCGGUAAUAA
rnacentral:rRNA from 1 species